rnacentral:rRNA from 1 species
CAGUCGAACGCGUCUUGGUUAUUGAUGUUGGAUGCUUGCAUUUAACUGAUUUAACAUUGAGACGAGUGGCGAACUGGUGAGUAACACGUGGGUAACCUGCCCUUGAAGUAGGGGAUAACACUUGGAAACAGGUGCUAAUACCGUAUAACAACCAAAACCACCUGGUUUUGGUUUAAAAGAUGGCUUCGGCUAUCACUUUAGGAUGGACCCGCGGCGUAUUAGCUUGUUGGUAAGGUAACGGCCUACCAAGGCAAUGAUACGUAGCCGACCUGAGAGGGUAAUCGGCCACAUUGGGACUGAGACACGGCCCAAACUCCUACGGGAGGCAGCAGUAGGGAAUCUUCCACAAUGGACGAAAGUCUGAUGGAGCAACGCCGCGUGAGUGAUGAAGGGUUUCGGCUCGUAAAACUCUGUUGUUGGAGAAGAACAGGUGUGAGAGUAACUGUUCACAUCUUGACGGUAUCCAACCAGAAAGCCACGGCUAACUACGUGCCAGCAGCCGCGGUAAUACGUAGGUGGCAAGCGUUGUCCGGAUUUAUUGGGCGUAAAGCGAGCGCAGGCGGUUUCUUAGGUCUGAUGUGAAAGCCUUCGGCUUAACCGGAGAAGUGCAUCGGAAACCAGGAGACUUGAGUGCAGAAGAGGACAGUGGAACUCCAUGUGUAGCGGUGAAAUGCGUAGAUAUAUGGAAGAACACCAGUGGCGAAGGCGGCUGUCUGGUCUGUAACUGACGCUGAGGCUCGAAAGCAUGGGUAGCGAACAGGAUUAGAUACCCUGGUAGUCCAUGCCGUAAACGAUGAGUGCUAAGUGUUGGAGGGUUUC